rnacentral:rRNA from 1 species
CUACGGGAGGCAGCAGUGGGGAAUCUUAGACAAUGGGCGAAAGCCUGAUCUAGCCAUGCCGCGUGAGUGAUGAAGGUCUUAGGAUCGUAAAGCUCUUUCGCCAGGGAUGAUAAUGACAGUACCUGGUAAAGAAACCCCGGCUAACUCCGUGCCAGCAGCCGCGGUAAUACGGAGGGGGUUAGCGUUGUUCGGAAUUACUGGGCGUAAAGCGCGCGUAGGCGGAUCAGCAAGUUGGGGGUGAAAUCCCGGGGCUCAACCCCGGAACUGCCUCCAAAACUGCUGGUCUAGAGUUCGAGAGAGGUGAGUGGAACUCCGAGUGUAGAGGUGAAAUUCGUAGAUAUUCGGAAGAACACCAGUGGCGAAGGCGGCUCACUGGCUCGAUACUGACGCUGAGGUGCGAAAGUGUGGGGAGCAAACAGGAUUAGAUACCCUAGUAGUCC